rnacentral:misc_RNA from 1 species
UACAGAGGGGGCAAGCGUUGUCCGGAUUUACUGGGCGUAAAGCGCAUGUAGGUGGUACGGCAAGUGGGGUGUGAAACCAGGCGGCUUAACCGCCUGACGCCAUCCCAAACUGCCGCACUCGAGUCACGCAGAGGUCCGUGGAAUUGCCGGUGUAGUGGUGAAAUGCGUAGAGAUCGGCAGGAACACCAAGGGGGAAGCCAGCGGACUGGGCGUGUACUGACACUGAGAUGCGACAGCGUGGGGAGCGAACCGG